CCUACGGGUGGCAGCAGUGGGGAAUAUUGCACAAUGGGGGAAACCCUGAUGCAGCAACGCCGCGUGAAGGAAGACGGUUUUCGGAUUGUAAACUUCUGUUCUUAGUGAAGAAUAAUGACGGUAGCUAAGGAGCAAGCCACGGCUAACUACGUGCCAGAAGCGGCGGUAAUAGGAAGGUGGCAAGCGUUGUCCGGAAUUACUGGGUGUAAAGGGAGGGCAGGCGGGAAGCCAAGUCGGCUGUGAAAAUUACGGGCUUAACUUGUAGACUGCAGUUGAAACUGGUUGUCUGGAGUGAAGUAGAGGUUAGCGGAAUUCCGAGUGUAGCGGUGAAAUGCGUAGAUAUUCGGAGGAACACCAGUGGCGAAGGCGGCCAACUGGGCUGUAACUGACGCUGAGGCUCGAAAGUGUGGGGAGCAAACAGGAUUAGAUACCCCUGUAGUC
rnacentral:rRNA from 1 species